rnacentral:rRNA from 1 species
GACGAACGCUGGCGGCGUGCUUAACACAUGCAAGUCGAGCGAUGAAGUUCCUUCGGGAAUGGAUUAGCGGCGGACGGGUGAGUAACACGUGGGUAACCUGCCUCAUAGAGGGGAAUAGCCUUUCGAAAGGAAGAUUAAUACCGCAUAAGAUUGUAGCUUCGCAUGAAGCAGCAAUUAAAGGAGUAAUCCGCUAUGAGAUGGACCCGCGUCACAUUAGCUAGUUGGUGAGGUAACGGCUCACCAAGGCGACGAUGCGUAGCCGACCUGAGAGGGUGAUCGGCCACAUUGGGACUGAGACACGGCCCAGACUCCUACGGGAGGCAGCAGUGGGGAAUAUUGCACAAUGGGGGAAACCCUGAUGCAGCAACGCCGCGUGAGUGAUGACGGUCUUCGGAUUGUAAAGCUCUGUCUUCAGGGACGAUAAUGACGGUACCUGAGGAGGAAGCCACGGCUAACUACGUGCCAGCCGCCGCCGUAA